rnacentral:lncRNA from 1 species
AAUAUCUCAACAAACACCAAAUCUGCUGGCACCAUGGUCUUGAGCUUCCCAGCCUUCAGACUGUGGGAAAUAAAUUUCUAUUAUUUAUAAAUCACCCAGUCUAAGGUAUUUCGUUACAGCUGCAAGAAUGGACAAAGACAGAAUAUAGUAGGCUAAAAGGAGAUCCAUUUAAAAAGCUUCUUCUCUGCUUGGAACAGUGUUAGUUGACUAAAUUUUUCAUCAUCCAUCAAGUUAUUUGACUGACAGAUAGCUGGCCAACAAGUUCUUUGAUUGAAGCUGCAGUCUUCAACAUGGUGCUGCAGACAGUGGUUCAUUCUACCCACGGGACUGUGGUCAGGACCCAGGAGGCACCAAACCUGGGAAAAGGUAGCUGGGAGAUGAGUUAAGGAGGGUAAGUUACUUAAUCAAGUAAUGUUGGCUGUUGCUCUUUCCAGAGAUUAAAGUUGUUCAAAUGGUUGCCACAGCAAAUUUAUGCAGAGAAUGGGGGCCAGCAGCUAAAACCCAAGCCUUCUGGACUCCACUGCAGCCUUUUCUUCAAACUCAGCUGGUCUCCCUGGGGUGAGGCUCGGGGUGGAUGAGUGUUUGCUUCCCUCUUCCAGGCGGUUUGGCAGCCAUCUCCUUGCAGAACAUGAUGUGCUCUUGUGGGAGCAAAAGAGGGGAUGAUUAUGAAUCACAGAGUAUCAGAGUUGGAAGGGGCCUUAGUGACCUCUACUCCCACUGUCCCAUUUUACAGAUGAAGAGAUUGUGGUCCAGAUAAGAGGUUAUGGCUUUUCACCAACUUGACCACCACACUGUUUAUGUUCAGGAAACAUAGAUAUGCUAUUAUGUAUUAAUUCCAAACUUCUGCUCCCAGUUUUCUGAAGCUCAGAGGGACACCUUGUAUUGCUGGAUGAUAAAAACAGGAGCAAAGUGAUGAAAUGCUGACAAGGCAACAAUAGAACAUGAGAGAUUCACUGCUGUGUAGGAAGAGAUCUUCAGUGACCAUGUAGCCUGAAGCUCUCAUUUUGUCAUCGAGGGACACCAAAACUCAGAACAGGUGUUGUUCCUGAGCACUGGCUUCAAAAACCUUGCUGCUCAUUUAUCUUGUCUCACGGUGGUCUCCCAGGGAACCAACCAAAGAGGAGGAGGAGGAGAAUAGUGGUGGGGGUGGGUUGUUGACGUCUGACUUCAGAGAUUUUUUCUUUCAUCACACAAUAAAAUUAAUAAAAUAAAAAGACAAGGAUUCGGGAUGCCCUCGGAGUUCAUCCAUCAUAUUUUCAAAAGGAAAUUUCAAGCCAGCAAUCUUCCCAUCAGCUUCCAGGAGUAUUUUCUAGAAUAGUUGAAGGGUGGUUUUGCCUAAAACCUGGGGGUUGGCAUAGGUGGCCUUUCAAGGAGGCUUCUAGCUUCAAGUUUCUGUCAAUUAUGCUUUGCAUAUCUAAGAGCUGUUUGGGCUGGAGAAUUCAAAGAAAUUUUCAAUGUGCCAGGGUUGAGAUUCAGCGUCUUUUUGCUGAGUGGGCAUUGAUGAGAAAUGCCUCUGAACUCGCAGGGGUGAUGCAGCCCCCUGGCCAGCCUGCCAACUCUACAUACUCUCAUUGCUCCAACG